rnacentral:lncRNA from 1 species
UUUGCUUCAAAACCUUAUCUUCAAUGGCUUCCUCAGCUUCUUCCCUCCAUUUCCUUUCCCUUACACCUCAAACACUUCCUCUAUCAAAAGCCACCUCUCAAACAACUUCCCUUUCUUUCUUUUCCCUUCCUCCUUCUUCUCUCAACCUUUCUUUAUCUUCUUCAUCUUGUUUUUCUUCUCGUUUUGUUCGUAAGGUGACCCUUUCUGAUUUUGACCAAAUUGAGGAUGUUGA